rnacentral:snRNA from 1 species
UUCACUUCAGCGGCAUCUAUACUAAAAUUGGAAGCAUAUAGAGAAGAUUAGCAUGGCCCCAUACAAGGAUGAAAGGCAAAUUUGUGAAGCAUUGCAUAUUUUU